AGUGAGCGCUGGCGGUAGGCCUAACACAUGCAAGUCGAACGGCAGCACAGUAAGAGCUUGCUCUUACGGGUGGCGAGUGGCGGACGGGUGAGGAAUACAUCGGAAUCUACUUUUUCGUGGGGGAUAACGUAGGGAAACUUACGCUAAUACCGCAUACGACCUACGGGUGAAAGCAGGGGAUCUUCGGACCUUGCGCGAUUGAAUGAGCCGAUGUCGGAUUAGCUAGUUGGCGGGGUAAAGGCCCACCAAGGCGACGAUCCGUAGCUGGUCUGAGAGGAUGGUCAGCCACACUGGAACGGAGACACGGUCCAGACUCCUACGGGAGGCAGCAGUGGGGAAUAUUGGACAAUGGGGGCAAGCCUGAUCCAGCCAUACCGCGUGGGUGAAGAAGGCCUUCGGGUUGUAAAGCCCUUUUGUUGGGAAAGAAAAGCAGCAGGUUAAUACCCCGCUGUUCUGACGGUACCCAAAGAAUAAGCACCGGCUAACUUCGUG
rnacentral:rRNA from 1 species